UACGUAGGGGGCAAGCGUUGUCCGGAUUUAUUGGGCGUAAAGAGCGUGUAGGCGGCCAGGCAGGUCCGCUGUGAAAACUCGAGGCUCAACCUCGAGAGGUCGGUGGAAACCGUUUGGCUAGAGUCCGGAAGAGGAGAGCGGAAUUCCCGGUGUAGCGGUGAAAUGCGCAGAUAUCGGGAAGAACACCCGUGGCGAAGGCGGCUCUCUGGGACGGUACUGACGCUGAGACGCGAAAGCGUGGGGAGCGAACAGG
rnacentral:rRNA from 1 species